GACGUAGGGAGCAAGCGUUGUCCGGAUUUACUGGGCGUAAAGAGCACGUAGGCGGACUGUUAAGUGUGAAGUGAAAUCUCCAGCGCUCAACGCGGAAAUUGCUUCGCAUACUGGCAGACUAGAGGGUUGCAGAGGUAACUGGAAUUCCCGGUGUAGCGGUGACAUGCAUUGAUAUCGGGAGGAACUCCAAAGGCGAAGGCAGGUUACUGGGCAUCUCCUGACGCUGAGGUGCGAAAGCGUGGGUAGCAAACAGG
rnacentral:rRNA from 1 species